CCCCCACCCCCUCCACUUUCCAGGGGGAAUUUAGCCAUCGAUCGAAUGCCCUCUCCCCAUUGGCCAGUCGCGCCCUGGCCCCACCCCCGGCGGCCCCCUCCCCCAGCCUCGGGAGCGGCAGGUGAGCACGCGGCCGAGCCGGGCCCAGCCCCGCCGCGCUGCACCCCGGGCGGCGAGGGGGAGCCGCGGCCGCCGUCCCCUGCCGCGGGGGCGCCCGGCCUGGCCCUCCUCCCCCCGCGCCGCUGCCUUCUACCUGGGAGUCGGAGAGCGAUCGAGACGCCCGCGCGAUCUGUUUGCCGGCUCGUGACCUCAGCACGGAGGAGGAACUAACUUCGCCUAAACAGCCGUGUUUACUCAGUAUGAUUCUCUUCCGUCGUGGGUAAAUUGAGCCCCCUUUGGCAGAUGGAGCAAUUAAGGCUCAGAAAGAUUCGGUUCUCACCCAAGGUCAGCCUAGGGAAAUAAAGGGGUGUGCGCCACCCACACACCCAAACUCAAAGGCCCAUGGCUGUCCACAACUCCCCAGAUGACUAUCACCCAUUCGUUUGGGAUCAUUCUGACGUUGCCUACAGCAUCUCCCCGCUGCGUUCAGUGGAAAUCCUUCUAGUACCCCCGCCACUCUCCCUUCAUCCUGUCUGAAUCUCGAGGAGUUACCUUUCUUUCCCUCCCUCCACCUGUCCCACCUCCAACGUAUUUUUAUUGACUUAUUAAAAUAAAAACAAACAAAAAAGCCUCUGUCACUACCCCGUUUAGUUUUCCUGUGGCUCCCCAUCGUCUAAGGCAAAAGUCCAAGCCACGCUCCUUGGCACGGCCAGCAGGGUUCCUGCA
rnacentral:lncRNA from 1 species